AUGAGGCCUUUUGAAAUUUCUACCAUUAUGGAAUUCUGGUCAUGGCUCAGCGGAAACAAAUCUGACUAGCAUCCACGAGGAUGCAGGUUUGAUCCCUGGUCUUUCUCAGUGGGUUAAGAAUCUGGCGUUGCCGUGAGCUGUGGUAUAGGUCACAGAUGCAGCUCGGAUCUGGCGUUGCUGUGGCUCUGAUGUAGGCCAGCAGCUACAGCUCCAAUUUCAGCCCUAGCCUGGGAACCUCCAUAUGCCAUGGGUACUGCCCUAAAAAGGCAAAAAACAAACAAACAAAAAAAAAACAAGAAAAGAAAAGAAACUUCUACCGUUAAGAUUAGGCUUCCAAAGAGACAUGGAAAAUUUAAAGGGUAAGCAGAGAAGGACAAAUGUAAGAAGCAAACAGGUGAGGUUUUGUUUAAGAAUUUUCUAACAAUUUUUUUUAAAAAUCAUGGAUGAGAGAUUGAAGGUGAGGGGAAAAUGUUUAAAAGAGACAAGUAAGAGAAGAAGAGAGAAAUGCUUUCAUUGCGGUUCUACAAUAUAUUAGGAAAUCAAACUACAACAAAUCAGGAAAUCAAAAAGAAAAUUCUGAUACGUGGAAGAGACUCAGAACUGUAAAAAGCUACUCAGAAAUAGGGAGACAAAUGAAGGCCUUGGGCUGGCCUGUUUUAAAGGAGAGCCUCAAAUCUCUUCUUCCAACUUUUGCUUUGCUGAUUCUCAGGUGUGCAGAAAUUAGGAACACACAUGAUCACUUAUUGUCACAACUGAAGUGUGUAAAGGCUUAAAUGUACACUAGUUCAAACUGACAAUCGGAAGAAAAAUUACAUUUCCAAAAGAGGAAAUCAAACUUGAGCCAAAGCAUGGAUAAACAACAAAGUCCUACUAUAUAGCACAGGGAACUGUAUUCAAUCUCCUAUGAUAAACCACAAUGGGAGUUCCCGUCGUGGCACAGCAGAAAUGAAUUCAACUAGGAACCGUGAGGUUGCGGGUUCGAUCCCUGGCCUCGCUCAGUGGGUCAAAAAUACGGCGUUGCCAUGAACUGUGGUGUAGGUCGCAAACACAGCCCGGAUCUGGCAUUGCUGCAGCUGUGGUAUAGGCCGGCAGUUGUAGCUCCAGUUGGACCCCUAGCCUGGGAACCUCCAUAUGCUACGGAUGCAGCCCUAAAGACAAAAAAAAAAAAAAAAAAAAAACCCACAAUUGACAAAAAUAUGACAAAGAAUGAUAUACGACGAAUGAUGACAUAUAUAUGUAUGCAUAACUGAAUCACUACCCUAUAGAGCAGAAAUUAACAAAUACUGUAAAUCAACUAUACUUCAAUAAAAUUUAAAAAAAUAAACAAAACCCCCCACAAAUUUGAGCCAUAGCAGCAUUGCUAAAAUACCAAGAGGAAAUGGUCUCUCAAGACAGAGGAGCACUUUAAGGGCCAAACUCAUGAAAGUUCAGGUACGUUUGUUUAAUUUUGAUAUUCAUAUAAUUCACAUUUCAAAAUACUGACUUUCAAGUCAGCUAUGCACUCUCAUUUGCACCCACUAUAGUGGCUGGUGAAGGGGAGAUGCUUAUCAAGUGCUCAAAAAUAUACCCUGAACUACCUUGAAAUGGGGGUACUCACCUGGGCUUAAGUUUCUAUGAGGCUUAGAGCUAGAUUACAUUCUUUACAUAGCUAUAGUAUUGUGCAACAACUUUAGCUUAGAUUCUGCAGAUGAUUAACUCUCCCCAAGGGAUCCAGAAAAAUGUCAUGUCUAGAAUGUCUUAAGAUCCUAAAGACUUUCCGAAGCCACAAAGAAUGUAAAAAGCAAUUUCUGUCUAAAUAAUUUUGCAUUUAAUGUAGUCCAUGGUACAGUACAUUACAAAUAAAAAUUUAUACUUAUUGCUCUGUAGAUAAGAUGUAAGCACCGACAAGGAAGAAUUAUUGUUCAGAUGUUUACAUAUUUUUGCUAGAGAUGGUUGAGGCCAUUUAAAUUAGGUAUAGUUUUUAGAUUAGCUCUACGCAACUUUGUCCAUAAAUAAUGCUUUCUUUUUUUUUUUUUUUGUUUUUUUGCUAUUUCUUGGGCCGCUUCCGCGGCAUAUGGAGUGGCCCAAGAAAUGGCAAAAAGACCAAAAAAAAAAAAAAAAAAUUCUAUAUACCUUAAGCUUUAGCAUAAUUAAUGGGAUACCUUCAGAGAAACAGCUAUUUUCCACUAUUUCUACUUCUAAAGAUUAAAAUGAAUUGGUGAGCUGUUUAUUCUCAAAUGUCCUUUAAUCAAAGCGUUUCAAAUUAGUAGCUCCAGAUAUGGAUUAACUGUUGGGUCAUAAUCAAUCUAUAUGAGUGUACACGGCUUAGUGCAGUAAAAGCUGUUUUACAAGAAAAAGAAAAAAGGAGAACAUAAACCAUAAUAGAUUUCAAAUCAAUUUAACUAAACAACUGAAAACAAAAGAAGCCUCAUUUAAGAACCAAAAACCUUAAUAUGAC
ensembl:lncRNA